ACUAUACUGAACAUAUGCUUUUAGUUUUGUGUACAUUAUCCAACUUGCUUCCUUACAGGGAGAACAAAGCACCUUAAUAUUGUCCUGAAAUCACCCCAGGUGGGAAAGUCAGCCACAGCUUCUGCAAAGGAAUCGUGGAACACUAUCAGAUGUGCAAGUAAGGGCUAGCACAUACGUAACCAGAUUUAGAUAUUACUCUUACAUAGACAUUUAUUGCAGUGAGGAAUAUAUAUUUGGAGGCGUCUGUUUCCACAAUGCUAUAUAUUUUUGAAAAGUGCUACUGUCACAAUAACUCAUGCACUAUUAUUCUACUGUGUCUUUAUAAUGCUGGAAGAAGAGGGGCCAGGAUUGUGCUAGUCAUCACGCCCCUUGCAACCCGUCUUGCUCCUGCAGUCCUCUGCCUUUCUUUUGGCAUGUGCACUUCUUGUUCCUGCCAUAUGAGUCUGUUAGAAUACGAACAUAAAUUAUUUUGAGCAGAUGUGAACUAAUGUUACCCUACUUGAAGAAAAGAAAGGAAAAACCUGCCGGACAACUCUGUUGUCACCUAAAAGAAAAGCACUGAUGAGCUCCAAAUAGAUGGAAAGUCGAUUCCUACAGUUGCCCUGUUUUGCCACGCGGUGGCGCUGAUGCACCAGGAAGACACCACGGCUCUGGAGCGAGCAGCUGCUCUGCUGGCUUGGAUCUGUCCCAGAAACGUCUGAGGGAGGUGGUGACCCUGAGAAGGGAAAUGGACAAGAUGAUGAGCCAGAGAAAAUGGAUGAAAGCCUUUGAACCCCUCAGAAGACCUCAGCUCAAAGGUUACUACGUCACCGAAUCUCUCCCUGACCACCACGCUGUGAAGUAGCCUGGGAAGAAAGGCCAUCUCAGCUCUUCCAGCUGUCCUACCUGAAGCCUGAACAUGUGAGUGAAACCACUGUGGACUCCCAGCUUUUGCUGAGCCCUCAGGUUUCUGCAGCUGUAGGAGUGAAUUCACGUGAGGCGAGUGGCAGAGCUACCCGAUCGACCUUCACAAUUGUGCUAAAUAAUAAAUAAGUAAACGAUGACUGUUUUUAAUCA